rnacentral:siRNA from 1 species
ACUGCCAGCACUGCCUCUAAGCCG